rnacentral:misc_RNA from 1 species
GAUGAAGAACGCAGCGAAAUGCGAUACGUAAUGUGAAUUGCAGAAUUCAGUGAAUCAUCGAGUCUUUGAACGCACAUUGCGCCCCCUGGUAUUCCGGGGGGCAUGCCUGUCCGAGCGUCAUUGCUGCCCCCAAGCACGGCUUGUGUGUUGGGCCUCCGUCCCCCUCCCGGGGGACGGGCCCGAAAGGCAGCGGCGGCACCGCGUCCGGUCCUCGAGCGUAUGGGGCUUCGUCACCCGCUCUUGUAGGCCCGGCCGGCGCUUGCCGACACAUCAAUCUUUUUUCCAGGUUGACCUCGGAUCAGGUAGGGAUACCCGCUGAACUUAAGCAUAUCAAUAAGCGGAGGA